UACGUAGGGUGCGAGCGUUAAUCGGAAUUACUGGGCGUAAAGUGUGCGCAGGCGGCUUCGCAAGUCGAGUGUGAAAAUCCCCGAGCUUAACUUGGGAAUUGCGCUCGAAACUACGGAGCUGGAGUGUGGCAGAGGAAGGUGGAAUUCCACGUGUAGCGGUGAAAUGCGUAGAGAUGUGGAGGAACACCGAUGGCGAAGGCAGCCUUCUGGGCCAACACUGACGCUCAUGCACGAAAGCGUGGGGAGCAAACAGG
rnacentral:rRNA from 1 species